rnacentral:lncRNA from 1 species
CAUUUCUUUUAUUCUGUUACAGGCAGUCUGGGAAGCAUUCUGGACAUGUGGCCUGCGCUGUCACAGUUCCUCCUUGCAGGAUCGCAGAUGUUUGGAGAUUGUAGUGAUAACUGUUAUCAUUGAGAAUGUCAUUCUCGCAGGCUCUAGUAAGUCAGGAUUUAUUCAGUGUUAAUUUGUUAAAGACAACUGUAUUUCUAGCCAAAUCCAUGUGAGCUGUUUCUCCUUGGAGAGUUGCUGGGGGUAUUCCCGUGGCUUAGUCUUAGGGAAACACACACCUUUGAAUACUGCUGAAGCUGUGGGGACCCAAAGUGCACCGGAGUACUUUUGCCAUAUGUGGUGUUAGUCACUGAUACAUGUCUCAGUCAGACCUGAUGGAUUCUUGACCCCUUCCUUUUUCACUUUUUUACUUUUUAUUUUUUGUUUUUGUUUUUUAAAAGCACAACCCCUCAGGUGGCUACCGUGAAUCUCUGGUGUUUUCAGUUGGUUGCAGCUUAUUUGCCGUCUCAGGUUCAAAGAUAUUCGGAGCCUGCUGAUGCUUCCCUCGGUUGUUGUUCUGUUGUGUGACCUCCGCGCCCGCAGGGUUCAAGACUGUCAGAGCUGGGAGCCACCUUCACAACUACCAGGGUUUCCGGAACCUCCUUUAUCUAGCCCUGGGGAUGGAAGAGAUGUCAUCAGAGGCGGAGGCGUACUAGGUUUACGUGCCAUUGACUCAGUAGAGGAAGCUGAGACCAAGCAGCCGCAGGAACGAGGUGGGUUUUGCCGGUGGCUCAGGCUUCCUCUGGUUGAGUUGGGCCUUGGAGUAAUGCUGGGGGAAGUCACAGAGCUGAGUACGGUGGGCAUUGGAUCCGGCUGUCACCCCUCUGCGGUGUGGGCUGGGGGCUUGGGGGACGUCACCUGAGGUGGGCCUGAACCUCCCGUCUACUCUGGCACUGGUGGCUGUGGGGUCCCACACUUCUUCCAGUGAACAUGCUGGCCCCCGCCUGGUCCCCGAGCGAGGUGGGGCAUCCUUUCCACUGCUGGGGCCCACGUGUAGCUGUGGGUUCCUUUCUCAUGACCUGGAGAAGCUGCAGCUCGCCC